UGGGGAAUAUUGCACAAUGGGGGAAACCCUGAUGCAGCGACGCCGCGUGAACGAAGAAGGUAUUCGUAUCGUAAAGUUCUGUCCUAUGGGAAGAUAAUGACAGUACCAUAUAAGAAAGCUCCGUCUAAAUACGUGCCAGCAGCCGCGGUAAUACGUAUGGAGCGAGCGUUGUCCGGAAUUAUUGGGCGUAAAGGGUACGCAGGCGGUUUAAUAAGUCGAAUGUUAAAGAUCGGGGCUCAACCCCGUAAAGCAUUGGAAACUGAUAAACUUGAGUAGUGGAGAGGAAAGUGGAAUUCCUAGUGUAGUGGUGAAAUACGUAGAUAUUAGGAGGAAUACCAGUAGCGAAGGCGACUUUCUGGACACAAACUGACGCUGGGGUACGAAAGCGUGGGGAGCAAAAAGG
rnacentral:rRNA from 1 species